GACUUCUAAAAGCGUAUAAAAGCCUCCCAUUCAAGAGGCUUUUUAACUUCAGUGGCUUCUUCUUCUCUUCCUCCAACAGCAGGAGACACCAGGCUUAGCGAAGAUGUCUUCCCAUCAGCAGAAACAGCAGCAGCAAAUCCCUUCAAAAUGCCAGGAAAAGUGUGCUCCAAAGUGCGUGGAGCAAUCCCAGGCCCCAAAAGGACAAGUCAAGUGUCCUGUGAAGAGCAUCCCCCAGCAACAGCAGCAGCAGCAAUGCCCCAAGCAGAAGUAGCACUGACAGCAGUGGCCACAAAGUGCCACAGAAGAUGCAAAUGCUCGUUUCCAAGCUCUCCUCCUGCCUGCUGGCUCUGCCAGAAUAGCUAGAAAUUUGCAGCACGCCUCCUUUGAUUGCGAGCAGAAAUUACUUUACAAAGAGAUGCAAUUCAUUUACUUGGAUUUAUUCACCCUCUGCUAUAAAAAAAAAAAAUAAUCAUGGGGCCGCUUUCUUCUGAUCUUUAAUUUGGGACAUGCAGCAAUAAAAUGAAAAGUAACCU